rnacentral:rRNA from 1 species
UACAGAGGGUGCAAACGUUGCUCGGAAUUAUUGGGCGUAAAGCGCAUGUAGGCGGCCCGGUAAGUUGACUGUGAAAGCCCUUGGCUCAACCAAGGAAGUGCAGUCAAAACUGCCGAGCUCGAGUUCUGAAGAGGGUCGCGGAAUGGCCAGUGUAGAGGUGAAAUUCGUAGAUAUUGGCUAGAACACCAGUGGCGAAGGCGGCGACCUGGGAAGAUACUGACGCUGAGAUGCGAAAGCGUGGGGAGCAAACAGG